rnacentral:rRNA from 1 species
UACGUAGGGUGCGAGCGUUAAUCGGAAUUACUGGGCGUAAAGCGUGCGCAGGCGGUUUUGUAAGCCAGAUGUGAAAUCCCCGGGCUUAACCUGGGAAUGGCAUUUGGGACUGCAAGGCUGGAGUGUGGCAGAGGAGACUGGAAUUCCCGGUGUAGCGGUGAAAUUCGUAGAUAUCUGGAGGAACCCCGGUGGCGAAGGCGGCAUCCUGGACCGACACUGAGGCUGAGGAGCGAAAGCCAGGGGAGCAAACGGG